rnacentral:rRNA from 1 species
UACGAGGGGGGCAAGUGUUGUUCGGAAUCACUGGGCGUAAAGGGAGCGUAGGCGGACGUUUAAGUUGGAUGUUUAAAACCGGGGCCCAACCUCGGAGCGGCAUCCAAAACUGGGCGUCUUGAAUGGAACAGAGGCUAGUGGAAUUGGGGGUGUAGCGGUGGAAUGCGUAGAGAUCCCCAAGAACACCAAUUGCGAAGGCAGCCAGCUGGGUCCACAUUGACGCUGAGGCUCGAAAGCCAGGGGAGCGAACGGG